UUUUUUGUUUUUUUUUUUGAUGAACAACAAUUUUAUUUUUCACACUUAAAGGCUAAUGAAUAACCAUUACUAAUCCUAUUAAAGAAAACCCAACAUUCAAUAGGAAAGGAUAACUAUAUUUACUCAUUAAAUACCAUUUAAGUUUUCUACAACACAACUUCAAAAUACCCAGCAUGCACGUUUAAUCUCAGUACAAUGGAUUUAAGACCAAGUUUACAGGUUACAGCAUCAAGGCUAGAUUACAAAUUAUCAUAGUCAUCAUCGUCAUCAUCAUCGUCAUCAUCAUCAUCUUCUCGUUUUCUUUUCAAUGCAUUUGAUGAUUCAUUGGAAGUAUUUUGUGAUGACACCAUGUUUGUAGUGAUAAGAAUGUUUUUGGACCCAAUUAAUGAUGGAUUAAUCAGAACAUUCUGAACUGCGGAUGUGGCAGGAAUUGAUGCUUUUACAGUUGGGGACUGUGAUGUGGGCAUCUGUACUGUAAACCUCUGCCCUGUGAGGGACAUGGGAGUCCCUACUUUAGUUGACACUGACAUGGUUUGUGGGGUUGGUGUACCAAGAGUGGGAGUACUUGGUCGGCUAGUAACAGAACCAACACUUAACCGUGGAACUGUUAUUCUUCCCGCAGAAGUUGAUGCCUUUUUUUGUAAAGACUUAAGUCUAUAGUUUGGAGCCGUCAAGCAAUAUCUAUCAGGUGGCAGCCUGGGGCCUGAAUAUGGCUUGAUUAACGGCAAAGGAGUUUGAUUUCUUUGCCUUGCAAUAUCCAAUAAAAAAUCUCUUGGGGGAGGAGAGGUAAAAGACUGAUCAGCACGACACUGAAUGGCAAGCCGCACAUCGUCUGCAUCAACAGUAGCCUUCUUAGCAUGGCUUGAAUAAAUUUUUGCAUCAUCUAGGAUUGUGGUCACAUAUCGGAACGCAAACUCCAACAUCUGAUUUAUAACUCUUGGUUCAUAUUCUGUAAUCCCCAUAUCCUUCAGGAUUUGUGCCAUCAUCUGUGCAUCUUUCGGCAUGCUCUUGGGAGAAGCCAUCUUGCCAGACUCCAUGAUAUCUGUUGAUCAGACUUCUUGAGCUAAAUCACCCACAUUAAUGUAUUUCAAUCCUGAUCUCGAUGCAAGUUCUUUGCCUAGUGUGGUUUUUCCAACCCCCGGGGUACCGGUGAGCAGGAUGUU
rnacentral:lncRNA from 1 species